rnacentral:tRNA from 1 species
AGUUAAUGAGCUUGAUUAUAAGCGUAUGUUUUGAAAACAUAAGAUAAAGAUUUAAUUCUUUAUUAACUU